GACGAACGCUGGCGGCGUGCCUAGUACAUGCAAGUCGAACGCAUUUUCUUUCACCGUAGCUUGCUACACCGAAAGAAAAUGAGUGGCGAACGGGUGAGUAACACGUGGGUAACCUGCCCAUCAGCGGGGGAUAACACUUGGAAACAGGUGCUAAUACCGCAUAGUUCCAUUUACUGCAUGGUAGAUGGAUGAAAGGCGCUUUUGCGUCACUGAUGGAUGGACCCGCGGUGCAUUAGCUAGUUGGUGGGGUAACGGCCUACCAAGGCUGCGAUGCAUAGCCGACCUGAGAGGGUGAUCGGCCACACUGGGACUGAGACACGGCCCAGACUCCUACGGGAGGCAGCAGUAGGGAAUCUUCGGCAAUGGACGCAAGUCUGACCGAGCAACGCCGCGGGAGUGAAGAAGGGUUUCGGAUCGUAAAACUCUGUUGUUAGAAAAGAACAAGGAUGAGAGUGGAAAGUUCAUCCCUUGACGGUAUCUAACCAGAAAGCCACGGCUAACUACGUG
rnacentral:rRNA from 1 species